GAGCUGGGUCCUUGCUCACUAAUACCGAAUCUCCCUCGGGGUCCGUUUCCUCAUUUAUACAACCUGACCAGGCUGUGGGCUCUUCACCAAGGCCAGCAGCCCCCUGGCAAUUUCUCGAGCAUGAGUGACCCUGUGCUACUCAUGUUACCCCACAGCUGAUUGGACCUGGGAACCUCCAAGGCAGCCCUGUGGGAGCUGCAGAGGCCCUCAGGGGGCCCCAGAGGAAGACCCUGCCUGCUCAACGGGAGGGUGGCUCCAGAGUGACGCCAGGGGACCGAGUGUCAGCCGGGAAGGGACCAUAGGAAAACCCAUGAGUCAGCAGAAGCCUUGAGGCAGACAGAUGGAGAAGAUGGGGCGAGAGAAGCCGCUGCAGGGCCACACCCAAGGCACAUGGAGGGCGAAUUAGAGCUGCAACUGCCGGCCUACACCACAGCCCCAGAAACUAGGGAUCCGAGCCUCAUCUGUGAUCUACACUGCAGUUCAUGGCAAUGCCAGAUCCUUACCCACUGAGCACAGCCAGGGAUCAAACCCGAAUCUUCAUGGAUACUAGUCAGGUUUGUUACCACUGAGCCAUAAUGGGAACUCCCUAAACGGUAUUUUAGAAAGAAAACACGGGAUGUAUGCUUGAACCAGGCACACUUGUGCUGGUUCCCCAUAUGAGCAGUAGCCUGAGAAUCAUUGGAUGUUAACCGAAAUGCUCAAUUUCUUGACAAUUUUGAUGUUAUUUGAGAAUAUCUGCAGAGACUAUUUGAAAAGAAAUUAGGCCUGUUGUCCUGACAACAGCAGAACACACAGUGGGAUAGCUCAAAGUCAUCUGGAUUUGUCCCUAACCUUGGCCUCCCUGGAAGAAGUGUUAGCUGAGCCCCAGGGGGCCCAGGACUGUGGUGGGCAGUUUGACAGGUUGAUAAGCAAUCCCAUUGGCAGUCCAGCUGUCUUGAUGCUGGACUGAUUUCCUGUGUUUCAUUACUCCCAGUGUAUUUUUAUGUUGGUCCCCUCUCUCCUGUGGGGAACAGCAUUCACCACUACCUGGAACAGCAUUUGUCACUACUCCUUCCAACCUGGAAGAGUCAAAUGUUGGGCUUAGUGGUUCAGCUCAACUUUUCAAAGGAAAAAACAGGGUCAGAGAGGUUAGGGGGCCAGUCAAGUGAGUAGUAAGCCCUGGAACUGGGAUUCCAACUCAUAUCUGCUUGAUUCCUUCCUGUCACGCCCAGGUAUUUCUGAUGGAAAUAGCAAAACCCAGGAUAUCGCAGCACACACAGGCUGAGUUCUAGCCACAACCUGGUUCUUACAUCACACAGACUCAUUUUGAACCUGAAGGAGGAAAGUGGAAAAAUGCCAAAUUGGUUUGGGAAGGGGUGGGGAGAGGAAAUGUGUGUGGGGGGGGUGAGGUGAAAAUGUUCUUUCUCUGCUGUGUCAUCAGGGGAACAGAAAGGGGUAAUCGUCUCAUUUUUCUUAACAGAAGCAACACAGGAAGAAAAGCAUUCAUUAAAACACUGCAUCACUGCACACUUUAGAAAGGAAGCAGCAACUCAUUUCAGUUCUGCAGGAGAAAUUUUUGCAAAUGAAUAAAGAGGGGUAGUUAAUAGGUUUUGUUUGUUUGUUUGUUUGUUUUUAAGAAAUCUUGAGGAGUUCCCAUUGUGGCUCAGUGGAAACAAUCCAACUAGCCCUGAGGAUGCGGAUUUGUGCUCCCUGGCCUCAACAGUGCGUUAAGGAUCUGGCAUUGCUGUGAGCUGCGUUGUAGGUUGCAGAUGUGGCUUGGAUCUGGCUUUGCUGUGGCAUAGGCCAGGGACUGCAGCUCCAAUGAGACCCCUAGUCUGGGAACCUCCAUAUGCUGCAGGAGCUUCCCUCACCUAGAGAGGAAGGUGUUGUGGUCUGUGCAUGUGGGUCAGAAAAGAAUUUCCAGACGUAUAGGGGGUGAAGAGAAAGAAGACUUUAUUGAGCAUGGCGAGAUGGAGAGAAAGUAGAGUUUAUUGAAAUAAGAGAUGCUGCUCAGCACAGCGGGAAGACUUCCUGAUCAGGAAGAGCCAACACUGAGCGUUGCUGGCCUGCUGAUUGGUUAGGGAAAGGGGAGGUCUUCCAAAACACUUGCUGGUUGGUUGAGGGCAUGUUUUGCCCCCAUGGGGCGGGGGUGAGGGGUGGGCCACAUACCUUUCUUAGGAGGGGGCAGGAAGGAGUAGGCCAGGUCACUCAAGGUCGGGGAAGGGCGGUUACAACGAGACAGGUGGGGUGAUGAUAAGGGUCUGGUAAUUCUCAUCUUAGCCAGAGGCUUUGAGUUCUAUCUCCUUGAAGGGGCCUUGAAGUCCAACAGAAGGGUCAAGCUGGGAUGGGGUUUUGGAACCAGGUUUAUCGCCCUGCUGACAGCAGUGGAGCUGACUGGCACCCCUACCUUCUCACUGAUGUCAGGGCUGAAGCAUCUGUCAGAGGCUCAGGUUCUCACGUGGGACCUCAGAAGGGAAGCCAGCUGUGCAUCUUCUCAAAGAUCCAAAGACAGGUCCUUGGCCUUGGUAAUCAUGGAGAGGGUUACCAAUUGAACACCAAGUGACUGUCCCAUGGCCAUCAAAAGUGGGCACUGUGGGCUUCACCCUUCCAGCCUUCCAGCUGGCACUUCCUGUCGAAAGGAGCUGUUGCUGGCUGCCUGCUCCAUCUGGGGAGGCGAGUCUCAUGCCAGGACACCCCUCAGAAGUCGAAGGGGCCUCCAGGGGUGGGGGUUCUGACUCUCACCCUUGACGUUGUAAGUCUUAGUGCAGCCAGAACAGGUCUCGACCACUCAAGAGAGCCACUGUCGGAGUAUUCUGGGAAGAUAGAUUUUAUGGAAAAAUCUUGCUUCCUUCUGUUUUAUGUAUGACAUUUUCCCAAAAGGGAAAAAAAAAGUUGGCAUAACCAGUAUCAUUAUUCUUUUCUUUCUUUUAUUUUCCACCUCAGAACCAUUUGUCAUCAGAAAACAGUUUACUUUACACCUCCCAGGCUGAUUUCCACAUCACGAGGAGCCUGGGGAGGGGACAGCGAUGACCUCUGGCUGCCCCGUGGCAAGGGGCUGGGAGGUGGGGAAGGGGAGUGAAUCAUCAGCCCUGAGGUUGCUCAGGAAAGAGCUGAGCUGAGCUGAGCAUCCAAAGAGGCAGGCCAGGGAGUCUAGCCACUGGGUUGGAUGAUACACCGGAUGGUGAGACCCUCUAAGACAGGUGUCUUCUGCGUAUCCCCUCCUGCUCCACUCAAGUGGGUGAAAACACAGUUAAAGUUUUGCCGCUGCUGGCGUAAGCAUCAUCCAUGAACAUGGACGUAAGGGAGCACACGUGGUAGAAUCCGGCACAGAAUACUUUGAGGUUUUUCAUCCUAAAGUCGACGGGGUCCAGUCUGUGGAUCAAGAGAGAAGAGAGCCUGAUUUAAUAAUGGUUUGCGUCAUGGACUGUGCCGGAAAUCCCCACUGAGGUCCCUAUAUGAGCCACCAAAAUGUCGUGGUCUGUGCACAUGGGUGGGAAAGAAGAAAUUUCUGGAUCCAAAGCAAGGUGAAGAAAAGACAUGUUUAUUGAAGCGAGAGACUUUGUUAAAACAGUGGCUGACUUCCUCAUCAGGGAGAGCUGACCUGGGGGCUCAGGGUCGGGUCUGUUUUUAUAGCCCAGGGAGAGAGGAGAGGUCUCGUGAUACACCUGCUAACCUGCUGAUUGGUUGGGGAAAGAGGGGUCUUAGGAUACACUUCCUGGUUGGUUGGGGGUGUAUAAGGCCCCCAUAGUGGCAGGUGAGGAGUGGGCCACAUACCUUUCUGAGGAAGGGUUUGGAAGGGGCAGGCCAGGUUGGUCAAGGUUGGGGAGGGGACAUUACAAUGAGACAGUCAAGGUGGGGGAGGGGGCAUUACAACAAUAAGGGUCUGAUUAUCACUGAUAACAAAUCCCAACCUCUCUUUGACUCGGUGGAACCAUGUGCAAUAUUUUUUUGGCCCAGGCUGGAGAUCAAGGCACUGUCAUUCCCCUCGAUCCCAAUCCCCAGAUAAAAAGGGUAACGUUUUGUGUGAGGAAAAGCUUCAGGGCAGCCUCAGAAGUCAAAGAGGACUGGAACGUGUUGGCCUCAUCCAGGACGAGGAAGAGCCUAAAGAUGGCGCCCACAGGGACCACAGCCCAGUUCCUGAUGGGAAACCCGCCCGUCAGACCGAUGGGCUUUCUCUUUGGGAAGAAGUGAAGGGAGGGAGGAUUGUUCCGAGGAGGAGCCAAGAGUGAGCUGAGGCCCAAAGAGAGGACAGGAGAGAUGGGCGAGACCUACUGGAGGGGCAGACCCAGCUGGUACAGCAGGUGUGGGUGAGAUGAGAGUCUUGGAGUGCUCCCUGGAUAGAGAGCAAGAGCAUGAGUGGACGGAGGGGCAUUUCAGGGUGGGAGGCGCGGCACUUCCAAGGGAGGGGAGAUUUGUCGUGGCUGGGCAAAGGGACAGCUCCUCGGGAAAGUUCUAGAAGUGGGUAUUGCUCAUACCUUAUAGGACACCCCUUCAUUCCAGAGGCCGAGGGAUCACUGAUGCUAACCAGGUAGAAGAGAUCAAUAAAGCUGGGUUGAUAGGAGCAAUAACAACCUCCACGUUUGCUUGAUUGUCAGGUCUGGCCCAACCAUCUCUACAUCAGGCACUGUGCUAGGGCCUGAAGACACACUCAGUGAUGAGCAAAACAGGUCUGGCUCCGCCUUGGGGUUUUACCAGGGUUUCUCCAGGGUGGCCUUCUUUUCUGGUUCCUUCAAGGGUUGGGGAGUAGGGGAAACCUGUACUCCCUUUCAGGGGGUGCUAUCAAUGCCUGAGGUUUGCGUAUGUUGACUUUCUAUUAUUACAAACCUUAGCGGGUGAGCAGGGAAACCACAUCCAGUAACAAGAAGUUGCUCCACUGGCCAGAAAUAGAAAGUCCAUGUGGAGUCCUUUCUGUCCUUCUUUUGUUUAAUGCAGAAGCUUUAAGGAGUUCUCAUGUGGCUCAGUGGGUUAAGAACCCAACUAGUAUCCAUGAGGAUGUGGGUUCGAUCCCUGGCCUCGUUCAGUGGGUUGGGGAUCUGGCGUUGCCAUGAGCUGUGGUGUGGGUCACAUUCGUGGCUCAGAUCCUGAGUUGUGUGGCUGUUGGCGUAGGCUGGCAGGUGCAGCUCCAAUUGGACCCCUAGCCUGGGAACUUCCAAAAGCCACAGGUGAGGUCCUAAAAAGAUUUAAAAAAAAAAAAAAAA
rnacentral:lncRNA from 1 species